CGCUCUCCUUACUCCCAACCCCCCCCCGCUUCCCUCUCUCUGUCUCCUCCCCUGUUUAACCAUUGGAAACUCCUUUCCUUCUCUUCUCGGCCAUGAAGGACGGCGGGAUGCUCCCAAAAUCGUCGAGCUUUGGCUCCGAUCAGAAGAGCCUCUUCGCCGUGGUCGGGGCCCGGCGAACGAAGCUCUUCGCCUACGGCUUCGCCUUCGCCUUCAUCGCCUGCACCACUUUCCUCGCAUUCAAUACCUCCACCAACGGCUCCCCGUGGUUCAACAACCUCUUCAGCUCUGCCUCUUUCUCUUCUUCCACCGCCUCGUAUAGAUCCCAGAUUUCCUCCCUCUUUUUCUGUAUCUUCCCCAAUUCAUCUUCGCCCUCUCCCGGAAAGUGGCCUUCUUUGCUGGGAAAUGCGGGGAAUGGAGUGUCGGCAGGGGGCAAUCAGACCGGGAAUGGCGUUGGGUCCCAGAAAGAUGGGAUUUUGGGAAGUAAGAAUCGCACGAACCCCGGAAUUGGGUCGCAGGGAAGUGGAGCUCCCAGGAAGAACCAGGCGGAAAACGGCGUUUCUGCUAAGAAUCCAGCGGAUGGAAGGCCGGGUUCGAAGAAAGGUGGAAACUUGGUGGCGAAGAACCAGACGGGAAGUGGAAUAAGUGGAGUUUCUGGAAAGAACCAGGCCGGAAAGGGGGUUCCUGAGAAGAAUCAGGCGAAGGAGGGAGUUGGCUCCAAGAAAGAUGGAGUCUUGCCGGAGAAAAACCAGUCAGUGAGUGGAGUUGGAUUGCAAGGAAGUGGAGUUCCUUCAAAGAAUCAGAUGGAAAAAGGAAUUGGUGCAAAUGGAAAUGGAGUUUCGGGAAACAAACAAAAGGAAUCAAGAACUAGUCCUCAGGAAAAUGAAGUACUGGCCAGGAAUCAAUCAGCUAAAGGAGUUUCUGCAAGUCCAAAGAGUAGUAAAGCUCCGGCGAAGGCCGGACAAAAAGCUUCGAACCUAACAGCUUCACUCAGAAAGCAAGAUGGUGCCAUGGCAUCGACUUCAAGCAGUAGUAGUAGUAGUGGGAAGAGAGAUGAAUGGAUCAAUGCUUUGAAAGAUUGUGAUAUAUUCCUAGGGAAUUGGGUGAAGGAUGAUUCAUACCCACUCUACCCUGAGGGAACUUGCCCUCACAUUGAUGAGCCCUUCAAUUGCUAUCUCAAUGGAAGGCCGGAUCGAGCUUACCCGAAACUCCGGUGGAAGCCCAGUGGUUGCAAUAUCCCGAGAUUGAAUGCAACUGAUAUGUUAGAGAGAUUAAGGGGAAAGAGGCUGGUUUUUGUUGGUGAUUCGCUCAAUAGAAACAUGUGGGAGUCUCUGGUUUGUGCUCUAAGAUACUCUGUGAAGGAUAAAAAGAAGGUUUUUGAGGCAUCUGGUAGGCAUGAAUUCAGGACUGAGGGUUCCUACUCUUUUAUUUUCAAGGACUACAACUGCUCUGUGGAGUUCUUUCGCUCCCCUUUUCUUGUUCAGGAAUGGGAGAUGCCAGUGAGCAAUGGGAAGACAAAGGAAACACUUCGGCUCGACAUAAUAGAGAGAUCAUCUCCCAAGUAUAAGGAUGCAGAUGUCCUUGUCUUCAACACUGGGCAUUGGUGGACUCAUGAGAAGACCUCCAAAGGGAAAGACUACUACCAAGAAGGUGACCAUGUCUAUAGCGAGCUAAAUGUUGUGGAAGCAUUUCACAAGGCUCUUACUACAUGGGCAAAAUGGGUGGACACCAAUGUGAACCCUAAGAAAACACUAGUCUUCUUUAGGGGUUACUCUGCCUCACAUUUCAGUGGGGGUCAAUGGAAUUCUGGUGGCCAAUGUCACAAUGAGACGGAGCCCAUUAAGAAUGAAAAAUAUCUCUAUCCCUAUCCACCAAAGAUGCAGGUCUUAGAAACUGUUAUCAAGGAAAUGAAGACCCCUGUCUCUUACUUGAAUAUCACAAGAAUGACCGACUACAGGAAAGAUGCCCACCCUUCCAUCUACCGUAAGCAAAACCUUACCGAGGAGGAGAGGAAGUCCCCUGAGAUGUACCAGGACUGCAGCCACUGGUGCCUACCAGGAGUGCCUGAUUCUUGGAAUGAGCUACUAUAUGUACAGCUAUUGAUCAAGCAGCGUCAACUGUUGCAGUAAGUUGACAAUAAGGAGGUGGACACUUAAUGGUGGAUGUUUCUAUAUUAAUUCUAUAUUGCAGAUAUGAAUAACCAAGGAGCGGAUCAAAGUUACGCUGUCCUUAUAAAGAGAAACAAAGUGAGUUUUGUUGAAGGAGAAAGGUUCGGAUAUAAGUUAUUUAUGUACCACAAAGAAGAAAAUAUUGUUUUACAGGGAGGAUAUCGAGUCAAGUACUUAUCAAAUGUUCGGAAGAAUUUGGAGGACUUCAGUCAUCCAUACCACCAGUUGGAUGAUGCCAGUUUUUGUAGACAAUGAUGCCUCUGGAUCAAAGGAGUAUCAGCAUCUAGAAGGGAUCCUUUGUGGCUCUUUUUGCCAUUAAAGAGUGUUAUGUCAAAUGAGUCUUCAUCCACAUUGUUCAAUGAAGCAUUCAUAAUUGUUUCAUGGAUGGUGAGAUUUCUCUAUCAACUGCUUUCUGUCAACAUUUACAUGCC